UGGGGGAAACCCUGAUCCCAGCCAUCCCGGGUGUGCGAUGAAGGCCUUCGGGUUGUAAAGCACUUUUGGCAGGAAAGAAACGUUCCGGGGUUAAUACCCCGGGAAACUGACGGUACCUGCAGAAUAAGCACCGGCUAACUACGUGCCAGCAGCCGCGGUAAUACGUAGGGUGCAAGCGUUAAUCGGAAUUACUGGGCGUAAAGCGUGCGCAGGCGGUUCGGAAAGAAAGAUGUGAAAUCCCAGAGCUUAACUUUGGAACUGCAUUUUUAACUACCGAGCUAGAGUGUGUCAGAGGGAGGUGGAAUUCCGCGUGUAGCAGUGAAAUGCGUAGAUAUGCGGAGGAACACCGAUGGCGAAGGCAGCCUCCUGGGAUAACACUGACGCUCAUGCACGAAAGCGUGGGGAGCAAACAGGAUUAGAUACCCUGG
rnacentral:rRNA from 1 species